AGCGAGGCUUAUCCAUUGCACUUUGGAUGUGCUGACCCCUGCGAUUUCCCCAAAUGUGGGAAACUUU
rnacentral:snRNA from 1 species